AAUGGGGAAGGGAGGGGCCACCCGGCGCGGGGGCGUGGGGGGGGGAGGGGAGAAGCAGAGACCCGGAGGGAGGGAGCCAGAGAGGGAAAAUCCUGCAGGGGGAAACGCGGCUCGGGCAACCACCCCCAGGGAGUCCAGCCCGAAAGGGAGAAAAGACUGCUGACAAACUGAGGGGCUUUUUGCUUUGCUGCUUUGUUGGUUUGUUGUUGAGGGAGACGGUCGGCCCCUUCCUCAGAACCCAACCACUCCAACCAAGCCAACAGUUCCCGGGCUGGGUGCAUUUUUUUAAGUUCACUAGUUAAUAACUGAACCCAGCUGCUACGACCAAUGCAUGGUCCAGGAAACAGCCCAAGAUUCCUCCGCGUUCUGAGCAGAAUGAGCUCUGGCGCUGCCCGGGGGGUGGAGAUUGGGGGGCGCAGCUGUUGCUAAGCUCGACUUAUGUAGAAACUGUUGAGUGGGCACAGUAAAGUCCCCCAUCAGCCCCAGAAUUUCAGCAGACGUCGCAGGAGGAGCUCUAGUCUAGAGAAGCGGCUUUGGAAAAGUGGCCACUUUAAGUAUAAAUAAGAUGAGCUCUGCGCAGAUUUCUUUCCAACUUUGACUCCUGUGAAGUUCUGCGCAAAAUGGGAGGAGACGAGGCUUCUGGAGGGCCUCCGUCUGGACAGCACUAUGGCGGUGCGAGGGGAAGGGACGCACCGAACAGGGAUCUCCGUGGUCGCUCCCCACAAAGCUGUAACUUCUAAAGUGGCCAAGUCUCUCUUCCUCCUUCCUCCUUCCUCCUUCCCUUUGGGCAAUCGUUUCGUGGGGAAGGGGGAGGGCGUCGAAGGCUUGAGCAGGACCAGAAAGUCGGAACAGCAAAAGGCGCCAGGGUUAGGGAGAUCGGUUAAGGGUAUUCGGAGCAGCCCAGAAGAAACUCAAGGAGACUUACUUUCUUCAACUCCGUGGCGGCAUCCCUAAACAGAGGUGCCUGAACGGAUGAAGAGUGCUUUGAAGUCGCCCCCCCCCUUAUGCCCCGCCCCAUGGAAUUGGAGCCUCACUUCCAACGCAAUGUCCAGGGUGAAUCACAUACGCGGGGAUCUGGUCGCCAGGGUCACAAUUUACAUGCACCAUUUACAGGGACUAUAAAAACGUGAAUCCUUGACUCCCCAUUUUCAUGUAUACGUGUUGGUUAUGGAGAUCAUCGAGUAAGGAGGAGCACCAAACACAUUAAUCACGAGCGGGGGGGGGGGCAGGAAACACCGCAUGGCCUGUUUGUUUAGCUUCUUCUUCUGAGCUGCCUGGUGCCAAUAAAGGGGGAGAGAUAUGAAGCCUCAUAUAGGCACCCGCGAAGUCGGGAGGAGUAUGAAAUGUUCCACUCUGACGCGCCUGUUUUAAGCAGUUCUGAAGAUCCUCAUUAGUCUGCAACCCUUUAUAGUAGGUCUGAGAAAUAAUUGGGCAAACUGGCUGAAAUUAUCUCCUAGGAUCUCUCACCUUCCUCCCCCCAGAUACUGCUGCCAGACUGCCGACCCCCACGGGCAAAGGUGCCAACUUACCAAGAGGGAUCCCAGUGUGUGGUUCCAGUGCUGGGCCUGGAGCCAGGAGGUUCUGGGAAGCCAUUCCAC